rnacentral:rRNA from 1 species
GAUGAACGCUAGCGGCAGGCCUAACACAUGCAAGUCGAGGGGGAAGUUACUUUCGGGUAACAGAGACCGGCGUACGGGUGCGUAGCGCGUAUACAAUCUGCCUUUCACUGGGGGAUAGCCCGAAGAAAUUUGGAUUAAUACCCCAUAGUAUAGUAAUACGGCAUCGUGAUACUAUUAAAGCUUAGGUGGUGAAAGAUGAGUAUGCGUUCUAUUAGUUAGUUGGAGAGGUAACGGCUCCCCAAGGCGAUGAUAGAUAGGGGUUCUGAGAGGGAUGUCCCCCACACUGGUACUGAGAUACGGACCAGACUCCUACGGGAGGCAGCAGUGAGGAAUAUUGGACAAUGGUCGGAAGACUGAUCCAGCCAUGCCGCGUGCAGGAUGAAGGUCUUAUGGAUUGUAAACUGCUUUUGUAAGGGAAGAAUAAGGGCUACGUGUAGUUUGAUGACGGUACCUUACGAAUAAGCAUCGGCUAACUCCGUGCCAGCAGCCGCGGUAAUACGGAGGAUGCGAGCGUUAUCCGGAAUCAUUGGGUUUAAAGGGUCUGUAGGCGGGCUGGUAAGUCAGAGGUGAAAGCGCUCAGCUCAACUGAGCAACUGCCUUUGAAACUGUUGGUCUUGAAUGGUUGUGAAGUAGUUGGAAUGUGUAGUGUAGCGGUGAAAUGCUUAGAUAUUACACAGAACACCGAUAGCGAAGGCAUAUUACUAACAAUUGAUUGACGCUGAUGGACGAAAGCGUGGGGAGCGAACAGG